rnacentral:rRNA from 1 species
UUUAACGGCCGCGGUAUAUUGACCGUGCAAAGGUAGCGCAAUCACUUGUCUUUUAAAUGAAGACCCGUAUGAAAGGCACGACGAGGGCUUAACUGUCUCCUCUCCCCAGUCUAUGAAAUUGAUCCCCCCGUGCGGAAGCGGGGAUCCCGAUAUAAGACGAGAAGACCCCAUGGAGCUUCAGACACUGGGCAACCCACCCCUGACCCCCUCGACCACUGACGGGGACAAUAACUGGCCUUUCUCCCACUUGUCUUUGGUUGGGGCGACCGAGGAGGAGAAGAAGCCUCCACACGGACUGGGAGCACACAUCCUAGGACUGAGAGUUACAUCUCUAAGGAACAGAACUUCUGACUAAAUGAUCCGGCGCACGCCGAUCGACGGACCGAGUUACCCUGGGGAUAACAGCGCAAUCC